rnacentral:lncRNA from 1 species
GUUGUAUUGACGAAUAAAAUCCCUGCAUUUGGUUCGUUGGCGUCCAUGGCACUUUGAGCUGUAGUUCACAUCGUUACUAGGCAACGCUGACAGAUCCUGGCUAUCAUAUAUUUUACUGAUUUACGUAGAGAUCUGUGGUAUUUUAACUAUUAAAAUUUACCAGCAGUUGUUCAUAAAUAAAUUGCCACCCUGGCUUCCUCAAGGUAAGUUGGCUGUUUCGCUAAUACACGAUGAUGUAGCUGAACUAUUCGCAAUAAGUCCUAGAAUUAAUAAAAUUAUGAGUUUUUUAUUCGAAUCCAUAUUUUUACACUGAAAGCCAAAAACUAUAACGAAAAUUAUUAAAAUUACAUGUUCAAAUUUCAGAGUGAAGUUGGGGUGAAUAUGUACUUUUUUUAACCUUUCUGUAAACAUUUUUUCAAAAGAAGUCUGCAGUACAUUAAAAAAAAACUCAUAAUAAAUCUUAUUAUUAUAUUUGGCAAAUUUAUUACCUAUGAAUGCAAAUUCUCAUCUUAUACUACCCCCCCCUCCACAUAUUAAUUAAGCAAAUUUAAAUGCAUCUCAGUACCAUCUCUAAAAGGCUUAAUCAGGAAGCUGGAUGAUGUUUAUAUGAAGGUUGUGGAGCCUUGAAUGUUUUUGUGUAAAAUGCAUGUUAUAUGCAUGCUCCCCUGGGCCCUGGCACAUUAGAAUUUUAUUUUUGUACUGUAUGUACUUCCAUUUUUGUACAAUAAAGUUGUAAAAAAAAUAGAGUUAAUUAAAACGUCUUUUCUUUUUUGCGUUUUCUUAAGAGACCUUCGAGAAAAACUGGGAAAGAAGAGGCGGAAUUUGCAAGAAACGCUGGGACGAAACAAAAAAGAUGACCUCCAGGACACUGCAGGCAGAGAGGAAGACUCAGGAGAGACUCUGAAACGCUCACUGAGGGCUCAGAGGCAGAGGCGAAGGAGAAAAGUGCAUCCCUUGUUGCUUUUGUCAGUCGAUCGUCAGUCAUUCCUGUUUGAUACAAACUUGUUUGUUUGUUAG